rnacentral:rRNA from 1 species
CCUACGGGGGGCUGCAGUAGGGAAUUUUCGUCAAUGGGCGCAAGCCUGAACGAGCAAUGCCGCGUGAACGAGGAAGGUCUUCGGAUCGUAAAGUUCUGUUGAAGGGGACAAAGAGCGGAGAGAGGAAAUGGUCUCCGAUUGAUAUUACCCUUCGAGGAAGUCACGGCUAACUACGUGCCAGCAGCCGCGGUAAUACGUAGGUGGCGAGCGUUAUCCGGAAUGAUGGGGCGUAAAGGGUGCGUAGGCGGCCUGCUAAGUCUGGAGUGAAAGGUACCGGCUCAACCGGUACAGGCUCUGGAAACUGGCGGGCUAGAGAGCAGGAGAGGGCGGUGGAACUCCAUGUGUAGCGGUAAAAUGCGUAGAUAUAUGGAAGAACACCAGUGGCGAAGGCGGCCGCCUGGCCUGUUACUGACGCUGAGGCACGAAGGCCAGGGGAGCGAAAGGGAUUAGAUACCCGGGUAGUC